GUAAAGCCCCUGGACUGACGACUCUGUCAGUCAAUGAAACUGAAAUUGCCAGGGUCGGGGUAUUUUCCCUUUUCUUGAAUUUCAAUACAAUUUUUCUCUUUUGAAGAACAACAGACUCUGCUGUCUCAGAAACCGCAUACCUUUCAUGAGUUUCCAUUAUUAUUUUUCCCAAACAACGUACUGAUAUUGACUGAGUGACAUUGAAUCACAAUGCUAUACACCCAACUGGCGCCAAAACCAAAUUUGUCAAAUAAGCUUUUUUGCUUUUUAUUAUUUACGGGAGAAAUGGUAUUGCCAAACAAGGCUGAGUCAUUCAUCAAAAUGCCGUCUUUCCGAAAUUCUCAAUGCCUGGAGCGUAAAACACCAAGGCUGCAAAGUAAACAGGAACUUCGAUAAUUCCUAGAAUAUUGCUGCUUUCAAUAUUCAUUCACCCUUGGUGAAAGGGGCAACUGUUCCAGGCAUAAAGCUAACCCCCUCUAAACUUUCAGUUUCUUACUUGAGCAGGCACUCUAGGAUCUAUGGUCGUUCGCAUGUGAGGUCGAUUUGUAGGGAAUUACCCAGUCUUCUAGCCAUGCAUUUCUCCCGCAAGGUAUUAGAAAACAGCGUGGUCAUUGCAAACAAGAUAUCACUUUGGUUUUAAUUUCAACACGAAGUAGGUAGGCCGCUUAUAUCAGUUCUAUCUCUUAUGCACGGAAGAACAAAGUAUUGUUGACUCAAUUUGCUUUGAGCUGUACGUAGGUCGUAUGGAAAUAUAAAUCUUAAAAUCACAAAAACAACGAAAGAUAUUCGGUUACAUGUAAUAAAUCCGUACAGCAAGGUCUUUUUCAGACUAGUUCAAGUUGAGAAAUAGACCGGGGUUUUUGCCCUUGACAUCCCCGGGUCGUAUGCAUACGGUAAGAGGAGGAAUUAUUCUGAGAAACAGGAAAACCCCCUCUCCAACUUCCUGUUUAUCAAACUGCCACGGAUGCCUAUGGCGAAAGACAAACUAUUCUUGGAAUGAAAGAAAUGCGAUAAAAACGUCCUUACUCUAGCAAUCUUAACUGAGUGAUAUUGGUCGUUCCAUUUAGGGUUUUGACAAAGAACAUUCAACAAGCUUGAUUGUAACACAAGAUAGCUGUCACAACUGGAUGCUGUAUCAGUGCUCCACUGAGAUCGGAUCUGUGAACUGUUGUCUUCAAGGCCAGCAUUGUCGAGUGCACCAACGUUAUCUGGCAAUUCUCAGUCCAUUUCUAUUGCAAGUUUAGAGUGAUAAAGAAGCGCACUGGACAAAUUUGGAUUUAACACGAGAAUCAACAAGAAGCAACUGCUGUUGAUCUUAAGCUGAAAGAAAGAUGUCAGUCGCAGUUCACGGUGAGUAACGUGGUAAAGCAAGGGCGCCUUGCAUAGUUAAUGACAUGUUAUCACACAUAUUUGAUUUUUCUACAUUUCUUUUUCAGUUGUGACCGGGGUUUCGUUGUCAAUUUUUCUUCAGUGUUGCGAUAUAUGUGUGGUGUAUUUCUGUCAAUGAAUUUGCGACCAAUGAACUGAGAGAGAUUUUCUCAGUUUCUUCAGUUUGAUUUACAAGGAACUGUUCCAUUUAAUUUGUGUUAGUCGUAUUACGGUACUCCACAGUAAGUUAUAUCUCAAGUAAAAGGGUGCUCUCCAUUGAACCAAAAGUUCUGGAGCGUUCAAAACGGGGCACUGACUGAAUUAAUCCUUUGGGCUCCUGAUGGAGCAAAGGGCGUCAACAAUGCUCUGCUAGAGGACUCUGUUUGGUGCCAUCUCUCAGCUGUGUUCCAGGUGAUGUUAGCCAUUUUCAUCUCUUCUUCAGUCGACCUUCUCUAGGUCUAAGCAGGUCUUCCCUCCUUUUUUCCCUGCGGAGUCCAUUUCAAAGCCCGCUUAGUCGUGUCAGUGGCUCGUUUUUGCAGCGUGUGGGUUACGGCAAGACCAUUUCCGUCUUGCUAUCUCAGUUGGUACGUGCUUUUGUCCUGUCCUGCUCCAAACAUCAACAACAACAACAAUGCUGUAUUUACUCUAGACACUUAAUACACAUUUUCAAAGAAAAAUACAAUAACUUACAAUAACUUAGGGAAAAGAUAUGUGCCAGGGGAAUAAAUGAACCUUGCAGUUUCCGAGUUAUUCCCCUGCCUUUUCCGUGCAAAACAAAAUAAGACCAAGGGAAUGAAAGAUACAAGUAAAAGUUCCAAAGUUCUUUGCUAGUAUUUUUUUCCUGCCACUGUAUCUCGAGGAUCUUUCUGGGACAUUUGUUAGCAAAGCUUUGCCGCUUGUUCAAUAGAGCUUGUGUCACUUUCCAGGUCUCUGAUCCAUACAGGAGCGUAGCUUUAACAUUUGCAGUGAAGAUGCGCAAUUUGGUUUUAGUAGAAGUCGGUGAGGCAUUCCAGACUGGUGUAAGCUUGUUUAAGACCACUCUGGCUUUGCCUAAUCUGCUCUUCACAUCCUCCUCGGCUCCGAUAAGGUCCUGGAUCAACUUAAUUAACUUUGAUGGAAUUCCAUAGUGGUGCAUAAACUUCCAGAUGACGUUCCUAUCAUCCCUGUCAAAGGCGUUUUCGAAAUCAAUAAAGUUCAUGCGUAAUGCUGUCUACCAUUCAUUGGACUGUUUGACGAUUAUGCUUAAGGUAGCAAUAUGGUCAGUGCAGGAUUAGUCUUUCCUAAAGCCUGCUUGGUUACAUCGUAGUUGUUUGUCAAGGGCAUCCAACAGUCUUUUCGAGAAUAAUGCGGCAGAAUACCCUGCUGGGGAUCGAGAGAAGCAUAAUUUCGCGCCAAGUCUUAGGUCCGCCUUUUUGGGGAGCUUCACCAAAUAACCUUGCUUCCACUUUGUUGGAAUUUUCUCUGCUUGCCGGAUUUUAACAAAAAGUGGAUGUAACAUAUCUGCAGUGGUGGUAGGAUCGAUUUUGAGUGCCUCAGGCGGAAUGCCAUCUGGUCCUGGCGCCUUUCCACUCUUCGGCUGUUUCACGGCUGUAACAAUCUCUGCCUUAGAUUGUGGGUGGGUGCCGACAUUUAUCAGGGGCCUUCUGUGUCAUUGAUGUUUGGCAUAACAGAGGAGAUGGUCUGUUUAGGAUCUCACGGAAAUGCUCUGCCCAUCUCGCUCUUUCUACUCCGGUACCAGCCUUCCUUGUUCUUGACUGGUUUUGUCUGUUUGCUUCUCUUUCCUGACAUCGUUCUGGUCGUUUCAUGUAACCUUUUCAUGUUGCGCUGCCCUGCUGCCGUUUCAGCUUCAGUGGCGAGAGCAUUUAUGAACUCCUUCUUGUCCUUCCUGGCACUCUUCCUUACAUCACUGUUUAAUUGCCAGAGCUUCGAUAAUAAGUCUCUCUUCCUGGCCUGCUCAUUGCACUCAUUGAUCUCCACUUUAAGACUUUUCCUCUACUAUAUCAAACACUAGGUUUCUUUGGACAGCCAUUCUUUCCGAUUGCCGACACUUUUGCCUAAGAGACUUCAUCGCCUGUCUCUUGCCACGUCUUUUUCAGUCCUGCCCAAUGACUGUUUAGGUCUUCAUCCACAAAUUCAACGGCGGAGAACUUGUUCUUAACUUUGUAGUUAAACAACUUCGCUCCUUCAUUGCACUUCAGG